GAUAUGGCUCAGGAUAAACGCUGGCGGCGCACAUAAGACAUGCAAGUCGAACGGAAGUCGUUACGAAAUGGAAUGAAGAUUUAUCUGAUUGAAGUUUUGUAACAAUGGCUUUAGUGGCGGACUGGUGAGUAACACGUAAGCAAUCUACCUAUUAGAGGGGAAUAACAAUGAGAAAUCAUUGCUAAUACCGCGUAAGCUUGUAGUACCGCAUGGUACAGCAAGAAAAGGAGCAAUCCGCUAA
rnacentral:rRNA from 1 species